ACAUCAAAACUUGUCCCCAGGAGGAAGGAAGCAUUCUCAGCCAAGGGGAUGGAGUAGGGCGCUGAGCUUCUGCCAACCAUGGAAAGGCCAGCCCUUUGGUUCUCACAUCUGAAGAAAACACCACGAAGGUCCCCUGAAAACUGUCCCAUCGGGCUUCCAUCUCACAUCCCGUGAGCUGACGUCUCCCUCUCUUCCUAGCUGUAAUCUCUUUUUAAAAAGAAAUUGCCCAGACCCCUUUGCAUCGAUAUUCUCUUUUGAACAAAACUGUGUAAAUGGAGGUCCCAUGAUUAAUGUUUUGAGACCUACAACAUUUUAAGACAUUUAUGGGGAAAAACUUCUUUCCAAAUGACUUAACGUAGGAGUCCCUUAAGUAUGCUCUUAGACUGACGUUUCUUAAAUCGUGUGUGAACCUCGUUUAUGAGUGGAAAUUUAAUAACCACUGACUCAUAGCUAGAUAAAAGGGACAUGUCUGAGCUGGGCAGCUUAAUGACACAUUCAAACCAGGGGUUCCACGACGGUGCAGAUGUCACACGCACAGAAUCUGUCCGAUAGCGGUUGCACAAGUCAAGAUUAAAGUGAAAGUCUGAACUGAAGCUUGAGGGUGUGGCUGCGGAUAGCAGCGAGGUGCACAAGUGAAAACAGGCAACCAGAGAGAUGUUUCAGGAGAGGCUCUGAGAACAUCUUCCCACAGCGCUCCAAGCAAGGAGGACACCUGUUACCGAGAUCUGGGACACAGGCAUCGAGUUUCUUUCUUUAUCUAAUGUGUCCAGGUGUCUUGUCUGCCUGUAAGUCUGUGCAUCGCAUGCAUGCAGUGCCUGCAGAGACCAGAAGAGGGCGUACAUCCCUUGGGACUGGAAGUAGAAACUGUUGUGAGCGCUGGGAACCUAACCCAGAACGGCUGGAGGGGAAGGCCAGGGCAGGCAGUGUGCGCUUAACUGCUGGGCCAUCUUUCCAGAUGCCACAUUAUUUUAAUAGCAGUUGGGAUAAGAUCAAGGUAGAAAGAAACAGGAAAAGAUUUAUAUCACAGACUGCCGCAAUAGAGAACAAGAAAAAAAUGUGCUUUAAUUACGUUACCAAUACUGGCAGUUGACAUAAGCUGCAAAGCUAAUUGCCUUACAAAUGGCAAAUGCAGAUAACCACCACCAACUAAUGAACAAUGCCCUAGAGCAGCACUUCUCAACCUUCCUAAUGCCGCGACCCUUUGAUACAGUCCCUCAUGAUGCCUUGACUCCAACUAUAAAGUUGUUUUGUUCUUACUUCAUAACUG
rnacentral:lncRNA from 1 species